rnacentral:misc_RNA from 1 species
UCUKCAUGUYGKGSUCCCYGCACAUCUGGUGCGGCCAACCGACAUGGGGCUGUCUCUUCACUCUCCCUCCCGUCAUUUGAUUUGUCGGGGCKGGRAUGCUCGUGAUCGGUUGCCNGUGCGGCUCUACCCNGUUGNGGGUAGCGAAGUUGUCCCYCGAUUGAUAUUUGCUUGCCYCUCUGACWUUUUUUUGUCGUUUUGGCAGCCGAAAUGAUGGCGAAAUCCCUGUGCAGGUGCGUGGUCGAAUGGCCCCGUUGCUGUAACUNGGAAUUUUGCUGGCUCUCACGGAUGCAGUGCCCAGUGCCGGCUCUGCGUGGCUUUGCCCCGCAGACUUCGGGAGGUCCCUUGUACGAAUCACUGCGAUCAGAUGCCGUUUGUCGUGUUGCUUGUUUGGCACGCAAAUCGUAUUGUUCUGUCCGGAGUCGGGAUGACGAAAGUCAGAAUGAAGUGUCUGGGGCGUGCUCGCGUACACGGGGAAUGCCUCUCCGAUCGUACGAGCAGCGAUUUCCGGUCCGCGUCCUGCGAAGGCCCGCCCGUCCGGGCCGGUGCCGGAGCUGACGCGCCGGGUGUCGUUAAGACGUGCUACCUGGWUNAU